rnacentral:misc_RNA from 1 species
AGAUGACUGUCUUUAAGCCUUGACUAGUAGUUAGCGAGCGGAUCAAGCUUAAACCAUUGACCUGUAACUGCCGUUCUCGUUCUCGCAAAUUCCCCAAAAUCUCCUUGCAAUAGAAACCCGCCAAAUGAUCGUUCUGUGUCCCGCUCCGCGCUCCAUACUAUAGAUUCCCGUAUUUGAAAGAGCAAAGGAACGAACAUGUUAGGGGUAUUUCUGGUAAUUAUGCAAAUCCACAAGCAAGCAACUGUUAGAAGCAAGUUCUCGAGUACUGCACUUUCAAUAUACAGCGCCAAGUGCCAAAACCUGUUUCUGGCUUUCUGCUACCUAAUUAUACACCGAAACUCUUUGAUUUGUUUUCUAAAGCUUUCGCUGCUCGUCGACAACAGAAUCGAAACGACACGAGGUGCAGUUUAGGGGUUGAUCGGUCAUCUUUCAUAAGGUAUUGAGACUGAUUUCACAAAAUGCUUGUCUCUGCUCUUCUAACCUCCUUGGGAAUAAAUUCCGGUCUAUGUGUUCUAUUCUUCAUACUGUACUCCAUACUGAGGAAGCAACCAAUUAAUUAUGAAGUUUAUGUACCACGCUUGCUGGCUGAAGGGAAUUCUAAACGAAGAAGUCAUUUCAACCUAGAAAGGCUAAUACCUUCUACUGGUUGGAUUACUAGAGCAUGGAAACUAUCUGAAGAAGACAUUUUGUCAUCCUCAGGCUUAGACGCUGUGGUUUUUAUGCGAGUUAUUACCUUCAGUUUGAGAGUAUUUUCAUUUGCUGGGAUAAUAGGAGUCUUUGUUCUUCUUCCAGUGAACUGCAAGGGAACUCAGCUUCAUGAAAUUGACUUUGCAGAUUUGUCAAAUAAUUCAUUGGAUGUAUUUACCAUUUCAAAUGUAAAUAGUGGCUCAAAAUGGUUGUGGAUUCACUUCUCUGCUGUGUAUGUCGUCACUAUUUUCGUAUGUUGUCUACUUUAUUAUGAAUAUAGAUAUAUAUCUUUGAAAAGGAUUGCUUAUUUUUAUUCAUCCAAACCUCAGCCACAUCAGUUCACCAUCUUAGUUCGUGGUAUCCCUGUUUCAGUUGGCAGCAGUGUCAGUGAAAGUGUUGAGAGCUUCUUUACAGAGUUUCACCCUACUACUUAUCUGUCGCAUAUGGUUGUUCAUCGAACUAGCAAACUUCGGAGUCUCAUAAAUGAAGCAAAGACAUUGUAUAAAAGGCUUCUUCACUUGCAAUUGGAACCCCCUCAGCAGAAGUAUAGACGUGUUGGAUUAUUUGGAGAAAAGGUUGAUCUUGUGGAUCAUUAUGAAAAGAAGUUAGAAGACAUAGAGCAGAAUUUAAGAUUAGAGCAAUCUGAUUUAUCAUUGGCAGAAGAAACUCGGGCUGCCUUUGUGUCCUUCAAAUCUCGAUAUGGUGCUGCUGUUGCUUUCCACUUGCAACAAUCAAUCAACCCCACGCAGUGGGUUACAGAGGAAGCCCCUGAACCUGAUGAUGUUUAUUGGCCUUUUUUUUCUUCAUCAUUCAUGCGAAGAUGGAUUUCUAAGCUUGUGGUUGUAGUUGCAUGUAUUCUUCUAACAAUUUUAUUCCUCGUCCCUGUUGUAGUUGUGCAAGGUCUUACUAACCUGAGUCAGUUGGAGAUUUGGUUUCCAUUCUUGAAAAGCAUUCUAACCAUCACGUUUGUUAGUCAAGUAAUCACAGGAUACCUUCCCAGUCUAAUUCUUCUGUUGUUUCUUAAGAUCGUGCCUCCAAUCAUGGAGUUCCUUUCCUCCAUUCAAGGAUACAUUUCUCACAGUGAUAUAGAGAAGAGUGCAUGUAACAAAGUACUUUGGUUCACAAUAUGGAACAUUUUUUUCGCAACUGUGUUUUCUGGGUCAGUGUUAUACCAGGUUUCCAUCUUUCUUGAACCCAAGAAUAUUCCUGCAAAGCUGGCUGUUGCUGUUCCUGCACAGGCAUCAUUUUUCAUUGCUUAUGUUGUGACGUCUGGGUGGACAAGCACUGCUUCAGAGCUCUGUCGCAUAAUUCCUCUUAUUUACUCUCUAGUAACAAGAUUUUGCAAAAGUACAGAUGAACUUGAAGUUCCAUCUCUUCCUUAUCACAGGGACAUCCCAAGAAUUCUUUUCUUUGCACUUCUCGGCAUUACAUAUUUCUUCCUAGCUCCAUUAAUUUUGCCCUUCCUCCUGAUGUACCUCUGUCUUGCAUACAUCAUCUUCAGUAAUCAGGUUAGGAUCUUUGCAAGCUUUUCCCUUUUGUUUGGUUACUACUUAUAAUUUCACUCAUUACAAAUGCCUCAUGUUAGUGUAGACUCCUGUUUCCAAUUUGCUAUGAAAUUUGAAGUAAGGUUAUAUAUCAUUCUGUAAGACAAUUAUUAAGUACCAAUUGGAAAGUUAAUUAUUUUAGAAUGGAUAAAAAUGCAUUAAUUGCGUGGGUUUAUCUAUCUUCUAAAUGCAAUAUUGAUAUUGCAAACAACUUUUCUUUCUAUAAUGGUAAAGUUAAGAUAUAAAAUCAUGGAAGUGCACUUUGACUGAAUCCAUAAGUAAGAAUGUGCAGUGGUCUUAGUUCAUUCCUACUUGUAACAGAUGUGGGAAAGUGGUUAAUAUUCUACUGAAUGUGGGUGCAUGUGUGCGAAUAUGUUCUUAUGUUAGAUAUUGGUAGUAAGAUUUUCCCCUUUCAGUUUGCAUAACAAAAUUUUUGCCAGAUCACUAACUUUUAAGUCACUAAAGGGAUCAACACUUUAUCACUGGUCUGCGUAACUUUAGUUCUAAAGAUUUUUUAUGUUAGCACUAGACCCUUACAAUAUUUUGAUGAACUUUGAUACUCUGUGAUUGUAUCACACAGUUCAUAAAUGUAUACAUGCCCAAGUAUGAGACUGCUGGGAAGUUCUGGCCUAUUGUGCACAAUUCAAUGAUAUUCUCUUUGGUACUCAUGCAUGCAAUUUCAAUUGGAAUCUUUACACUAAAGAAGCUAUCUAUUGCAUCAACUUUAGUUUUUCCGCUUCCAGUCCUCACACUGCUCUUCAAUGAGUACUGCCGAAAACGCUUUCUACCCAUUUUUAUUGCUUACCCUGCUGAGGUAUGUUAUGUGCCAUACUUUUCCACCCUAUGUCCGGGUGGAUAAUAGUCUUAUUCACUGUGCUGGCUUUAGAGUUCCUACUUCCUAAUAAUUGUUUACUGGGCCGGGUUUAUGUUUUUAGGUUUUAAUAAAAAAGGACCAGGAAGAGGCAAACGACCCUGCAAUGGCUGAAUUUUUUGAUAAAUUGGUCACUGCCUAUCAAGACCCGGCUCUAUUGCCAAUUCGGUACUCUGUGAACUCCAACAGUCUUAACAGUCCCCUUAUAUCAUCUGAUGAUGUUUGAAUCUAAGUUAUGAUUAAAUUUAUAUUGUAUUGACUGGUAAUGGCAGUUUCUAUUAUCUACUGCCAUUUUGAUGAGUGAUGAUCUUUUCCUGCCGUGAGUUGGUGUCCCAACGAAAAGCAUUUUCCAUACACAUGCAUACAUGCCUGGAUGUAUAUAUGUCCAUUUGUGAUAGUUCUUUGAUUUUUUUUUUUUUUAAUUUUAAAAUGUAAAUUGUUUUGUAAAUUUACCUUGAGAUAUUGGUGCAUACAAGCAUACGAUCAACCCCAAUUUUAGAAGCAUGUUACUUGACGCAUGAACUGAUCUUCAUGUAUACCUGUCAACAACAAAUAUUUGGUGCAAUGCUGAUAUACUAUUGCCA